rnacentral:rRNA from 1 species
GAUGAACGCUGGCGGCGUGCCUAAUACAUGCAAGUCGAGCGAACAGACGAGGAGCUUGCUCCGCUGACGGUGGCGGCGGACGGGGAAGGGGCACGUGAAUAGCCUGCCUAUAGGACUGGGAUAGCGUCGGAAAACCGGAGCUAAUACCUAAUAAUAGAUUGAACCGCAUGGUGGAAUAUGUAAAGGCGAUUGUGCUUUCACUGGUAGAGGAUGCCGCGCCGCAUUAUCUAGUUGGUGAGGUAACGGCUGACCAAGGCAACGAUGCGUAGCCGACCUGAGAGGGUGAUCGGCGACACUGGAACUGAGACACGGUCCAGACUCCUACGGGAGGCAGCAGUAGGGAAUCUUACGAAAUGGCCGAAAGCCUGACGGAGCAACGCCGAGUGAGCGAUGAAGGUCUUCGGCUCGUAAAACUCUGUUACUAGGGAAGAACAAAUGUGUACGUAACUAGGCACGUCUUGACGGUACCUAAUCAGAAAGCAACGGCUAACUACGUG